GAUUACCAAGUUUCAACAAAUUUUGGAGGACAAUCAACAGAGGAACCCUAACUCCUUAUGUUUCUAUACAUGCAUGUGUGUGAACCAUCAUCAUUAUAUAUUCUAGUUCCCUAACUUCCCCUUACAUAUGUAUCCAACAAUGUACAUACCAAAAGCAUCAAUUUCUUACAAUACAAAACAAAACCCAAUUAAGAAACUAAUUCAGUCAACCAGCCUAUGAUUGACCCAUAAUUCCAAAUGAAAAGCUGUUUAAAAACAAUAAUGGCAACUCAAAUGAGAAGAAUCUUUAGGACAAGAGAAAUAAUGAGUCAAACUGUAAAACAAAGGCACAAAUUCUUACUCGAGGAUCAAUCUGAGCCAAAACCCAAAAAAUACCAACCUGAAAUUGAAAUCCCAUGUUAUUGAGAUGAGCAACCUGAAAUCCCUUGCAAUAAACAAAAAUGGCUAUAAAAACCAAUCAAAAAACAAACAGAGAAGCAAAAAAAUAGAAAUGCAAUUUAAAAAAACAAGCUUAGAUUUCUAACUCUAAAUUGCCCUAAAACAAUCAAAUCAACCAAUCGGUCAAAAUUUUUUCGAAAAAUCAUUUUUUUCACAACUCCCUCCUAACGAAAUACAAGCAGAAAAGCAAAGAGAUGAAAUUCUCACAAUGAAAGUGAGAUUGAUGGAAAUAAUAACCUUACUCGUAUCAAAUUUAGAGAAGCUUUUUAGAAGCUUUUUACAAUGUCGAGAUAUAUGUCGAUGAUUGUUGCGGGAUGAGAAUAACCGAACAAGAACGAUAAGACAGGGCUUCAGGUAUGGUGGCCUGAUGUGUUUUGUGAGGGAGAGUGGUAAAGGGCAAUAAUGGGAAGUUAUGUUUUUUUCUUUAUUCAGUGGAGUUUAUAAUGUCCUAUUCUUUCGGUCUAGUGAAGAAUGACCAUUAGGGGAGAAGGUGGAAUAGGAGAUGAAUGAUGAUUUUGUUGAAUGAAGGAUUCGAUGAAUCAAACUAUUGAAUCAUUGUUUAUCAUCGAAUCAGACCAAAAUAAAUUGGUUAUUCAUGCCAAGCAAAAGUGUUGUAAAGGUUUAUUAU
rnacentral:lncRNA from 1 species